GACGAACGCUGGCGGCGUGCUUAACACAUGCAAGUCGAGCGGAGCGGCGAACGGGUGAGUAACGCGUGAGUAACUGCCCCCCCCUCCGGGAUAACAGUUGGAAACGGCUGCUAAUACCGGAUAGUGGGGGAUGACUCGCGUCCUAUCAGCUGGUUGGUGGGGUAGUGGCUUACCAAGGCGACGACGGGUAGCCGGCAUGAGAGGGCGACCGGCCACAUUGAGCUGAGGUACGGCCCAGACUCCUACGGGAGGCAGCAGUGGGGAGUAUUGCACAAUGGGGGAGACCCUGAUGAAGCAACGCGCGUGCGGGAUGGCGGCCUUCGGGUUGUAAACCGCUUUCAGCCAUGACGCGGUAGUGGCAGAAGAAGCACCGGCUAACUACGUGCCAGCAGCCGCGGUAAUAC
rnacentral:rRNA from 1 species